rnacentral:misc_RNA from 1 species
UUAAGUUCAGCGGGUAUUCCUACCUGAUCCGAGGUCAACAUUCAGAAUUUUGGGGGUUUAACGGCCGGAAACCCGCUACACUUCCAAAGCGAGAGAAAUUACUACGCUCGGAGUUAUAGCGAGCCCGCCACUAGAUUUCAGGGCCUGCAGCCGGAGCUGCAGACGCCCCAACACCAAGCAGAGCUUGAGGGUUGAAAUGA